rnacentral:rRNA from 1 species
UACGUAGGACCCAAGCGUUAUCCGGAGUGACUGGGCGUAAAGAGUUGCGUAGGUGGUUAGUAAAGUGAAUAGUGAAAUCUGGCGGCUCAACCGUACAGACUAUUAUUCAAACUCACUAACUCGAGAAUGGUAGAGGUAACUGGAAUUUCUAGUGUAGGAGUGAAAUCCGUAGAUAUUAGAAGGAACACCAAUGGCGUAGGCAGGUUACUGGACCAUUUCUGACACUGAGGCACGAAAGCGUGGGGAGCGAACCGG